rnacentral:rRNA from 1 species
UACGAAGGGGGCUAGCGUUGCUCGGAAUCACUGGGCGUAAAGCGCACGUAGGCGGACUCUUAAGUCGGUGGUGAAAUCCUGGAGCUCAACUCCAGAACUGCCUUCGAUACUGGGAGUCUCGAGUCCGAGAGAGGUGAGUGGAACUGCGAGUGUAGAGGUGAAAUUCGUAGAUAUUCGCAAGAACACCGGUGGCGAAGGCGGCCAACUGGUCCGGAUCUGACGCUGAGGCGCGAAAGCGUGGGGAGCAAACAGG